AUAGGCUCAAAAUUGGUUAGCAAAGGAUACAUUAAUAUAAGGGACGGCUAGAAAGGUUUAGGGCUUUAAACAAACAACGUGCCUCAGUGUGUGUAACAUGCACAUGAUAUCAGAAAAGAGAAAAUGCAAGUUAUAUAUGAUAAAAACAUACCUGAAUGCUCUCUCUAGGUGCUCAUAGUCAACCACUCAUGCUAAUCAUCAUCACUUAAAUAACAUAAACAUAAAAAU
rnacentral:lncRNA from 1 species